GUUUGUUUUCUCAUUGCAAUAGGUAAGUUGAUAUCAUCAGGUACAAGAUUAUCAGAAGAAAGCUCAACUACCAGAUCACGAUUGGACAUUGACUCAUGGUUAUUUGGAGCCAUCACCGGUUCCGACGUUCUUGGUGCCUCAGGUCAGGAAUUGAUGCAAUGGAAGACUCGAUAGAUGGGUUAGGGAAUGAAGCAACAGAAGGCUCAAUAGAUGGUAUGGGUUCAGAUGACAUAGAAUCAAAAGUAUAGAAGUCAAAGAACCGAUCUUCACUCCAUGUCUCCCCCUGAAGAGAGGGCUUGGGGAAAUAAGGAGUGGUUUCAAAGAAAGUAACGUCAAGACUAACAAAUAGCCUUUUGGAGACCGGAUCAUAGCAUUUGUAUCCUUUCUGAGUAGGGGAAUAACCAAGGAAGACACAUUUAAUGGCACGUGGAUCCAAUUUGUUCCGGUUGUGUGCAUGAACAUGAACAAACGUAGUACAACCAAAGAUUUUUAGCGGAAGACUAGAUGGAAGACGAGAGACAGGAAAGUGUUCCUGGAAUUUCUGAAGAGGAGUGACAAAGGAAAAUACUCGACUUGACAUUCGAUUAAUGAGAUGUGUGGCUGUUAAGAUGACAUUGCCCCAAAAAUAGUUUUUCAUGUUGGUAGUGAACAUUAAUGCCCGGGCUACUUCAAGUAUAUGUCUAUUUUUUCGUUCAGCUGCCUCAUUUUGUUGAGUGGUAUCCACACAAGAACUCUGAUGAACAAUCCCAUUUUCUUGAAGAUAGGUUCCCAGAAUAGUAUUAAAGUAUUCCGUACCA